rnacentral:siRNA from 1 species
AUAUGAUAUUUGGUGGAAUGAUAU